rnacentral:tRNA from 1 species
GGAGUAGUACUCAAGUGGUUGAAGAGGCGCCCCUGCUAAGGGUGUAGGUCGGGCAACUGGCGCGGAGGUUCAAAUCCUCUCUACUCCGCCA